rnacentral:siRNA from 1 species
GAACUCCGCAGUUAAGCGUGCUU